GACGAACGCUGGCGGCGUGCUUAACACAUGCAAGUCGAACGGAAAGGCCCUGCUUGCAGGGUACUCGAGUGGCGAACGGGUGAGUAACACGUGGGUGAUCUGCCCUGCACUUCGGGAUAAGCCUGGGAAACUGGGUCUAAUACCGGAUAGGAGCCAUUUUUAGUGUGAUGGUUGGAAAGUUUUUUCGGUGUAGGAUGAGCUCGCGGCCUAUCAGCUUGUUGGUGGGGUAAUGGCCUACCAAGGCGGCGACGGGUAGCCGGCCUGAGAGGGUGGACGGCCACAUUGGGACUGAGAGACGGCCCAGACUCCUACGGGAGGCAGAAGUGGGGAAUAUUGCACAAUGGGCGCAAGCCUGAUGCAGCGACGCCGCGUGGGGGAUGACGGCCUUCGGGUUGUAAAAUCCUUUCGCUAGGGACGAAGCUUUUUGUGACGGUACCUAGAUAAGAAGCACCGGCUAACUACGUG
rnacentral:rRNA from 1 species